rnacentral:rRNA from 1 species
GACGAACGCUGGCGGCGUGCUUAACACAUGCAAGUCGAACGGAAAGGCCCUGCUUUUGUGGGGUGCUCGAGUGGCGAACGGGUGAGUAACACGUGAGUAACCUGCCCUUGACUUUGGGAUAACUUCAGGAAACUGGGGCUAAUACCGGAUAGGAGCUCCUGCUGCAUGGUGGGGGUUGGAAAGUUUCGGCGGUGGGGGAUGGACUCGCGGCUUAUCAGCUUGUUGGUGGGGUAGUGGCUUACCAAGGCUUUGACGGGUAGCCGGCCUGAGAGGGUGACCGGCCACAUUGGGACUAGGAUACGGGCCAGCAUCCUACAGGAGGCAGCAGGGGGGAAUAUUGCACAAUGGGCGGAAGCGUGAUGCAGCAACGUCGCGUGCGGGAUGACGGCCUUCGGGUUGUAAACCGCUUUCGCCUUUGACGAAGCGGGAGUGACGGUAAUGGGUAAAGAAGCACCGGCUAACUACGUG